rnacentral:tRNA from 1 species
GGACCGAUAGCUCAAUGGUUAGAGUCCCCGGCCCAUAACCGGGUCGUUACAGGUUCGAAUCCUGUUCGGUCCA